rnacentral:rRNA from 1 species
UACGGAGGGGCGAGCGUUAUUCGGAAUUAUUGGGCGUAAAGGGCGCGUAGGCGGCUUGGCAAGUCAAAGGUGAAAUCCCUCGGCUCAACUGAGGAACUGCCUUUGAAACUGCCUGGCUUGAGGCCGGGAGGGGUAGCGGAAUUCCCAGUGUAGCGGUGAAAUGCGUAGAUAUUGGGAGGAACACCAGUGGCGAAGGCGGCUACCUGGACCGGUUCUGGACGCUGAUGCGCGAAAGCGUGGGUAGCAAACGAGGA